AUGCUCCGCCUCCAUUUAAUUUCCUGGAUCUACAAAGAGUAUUUGACUGCAUUUCAUUUUCUCCAUUUCAUCCAACCAACAUUGAUGCCAUUUAAUCUCCGUGGCCGUCCGAAUUUUUAUUUCCCCCCCUGGUGGAUCAACAAUGUUGUAGGAUUAAAAUUCCAUCUAACCCCCCACGUCUGUCGCUGGUGGGCUACCAUCUACUGCAGGUUGCAGUUUAACAUCCUUGUCCCCAGAGCCCAAGACACUGAGGGAGGAACCAGCAGAGAUCACUUGGGGCGAUUUUAUGGUAUGUCUCGAGUGCAUUUGUAAUGGUGUUGUAGCAUCAAACUCCCCACACACACACCUUUUCAACAGCGGCUAACUGGUAUCUCUGACGUCCAUUAUUUGUAACCUUCAAAAAUCUACCAUCUACAAUGAGGCCCACUUUAUGCCACGAUUGGCUAGCUUGGCAAGUUAAUUGGGACGACGUUUGAUUCAAUGUCCUGCUUUGUUGCAUGAGAAACUGCUAUUACCUGGUUGUCUAGACUGAGUUCUUCCUCUGCUCCUGAUUCUGUAGCCCCCCGAAGCUUCUCUCUUCUCUUAUUGCAUUUAAAACACAAAAAUUUUGUUUGAAUAAAUCUUAUUUGUAUAAAAUACUUUUCCCCUUGACAUCUUUAAAUCUGUACACUACAUUUCAAUAAAAAUUAGUGUUUGACAUUUAAUACAGUGCUCCUCAUAUUAACCCUCAUGCUUAUAUUGAAUGUCAAUUUCUUUUUUUCUUUUCUGGAAAGUCUGGUUGUGGACAUUCAAGUGCAAACUCUACACGGCCUCAUUUUAUUUAUAUUUUAAUAUUGAAGUGUAGUUAUAUAUCUGUAAAUGAAGAAACCCACAGAGGCAGCAUGGUUUUUAAACUGUCCAACAAGCCAUGCAUUUAUUGUCAGCUUUAUA
rnacentral:lncRNA from 1 species